AGCCAGCCAGGGCAGGGCAGGGCAAGGCAGAGCAGCCAAAACAAACAGAACAAGGCAGGUGAGCGAGCAAGCCAGACAGGACCCAAGCCCGUGGCACUGCAGAGCCGGGGCAAGGCAACGCCUCGGGCUGCUGGGGACACCUGGACCACAUCCCACGCUGCCGCCUCUGCCAGAGAGGCCUCCCAGCUGACAGCCCCAGGAAGGUGCAGACUUGGGCUUGUGGCUUCCAGAGGAGCCUUCAAAUAGCCUGUAUAAGGACCCCUGCUCCCAGGGAAGAUGUUGUAGGGGGCCAGGCUACAAGGUCAAGAGCCGUGAAGGAGCCACUCCACGGCAUCACCAGAACUGAACUGCUCUGGCCUGAAUCCCAGCAGCCCUAGAGCUGUUUGCUGUCAUUUAAGCCUCACAAGUCAUGGAGGGAGAUGCCAUUAUUAUUAUCCUUCAUUCACAGAUAAGGAAAUUGAGGUGCAGAGUACUACAGUGACUUACUCAGUGGCCCAGGAUUCAAACCCAGGCCUGUCUGACUAUAGGGCAUGAAGCAUAAUGGCCUUUCAGGGACUGGAGCGACAAACAGACACCAGCCUGAAGCCUGACCUGAAAAGAGGAGGAGCACGAAGAGAAAGAAAACCUCGCCUAGAAGAUGGUGUCCAGAGAGGAAACAGGGGGGAUGUGACUUUGGAUACAGAAUGCACCCACUGCCCCCAGGGAGCAGAGACAAGGCUGUGCUGUUGGCCUUUCUGCCUGUCUCACCGGGAGUCCCGAUGGAGCCAGUGGCCACCGAGGAACAGCCCGAUGCCUGCAAGUUCUUCAAAAGACAGACAAACUUAUAGCUACCAUCUCUGAGCAGGGCACAAACGAGGAGACCCUGGCAGGUCUGCCUGAAAUUCGGCUGAGCAGCUACCAGGUAUAGCAAAAGCCAUUCGAGGCUGUCCUCAGCUUUGGAAACACUAGACUCCUGAACUGAGACUUUUUUGCUGCAUCCCUACACUGCUUUUCAGAAUAAAGAUGGUGAGCUUUGGAAAAUCAUCUGAUAAACGGUGAGUUGGCGUCAUCCCCUUCUUUGUCAGUAUGGCCGUGCUCAUCCAGAAGAUUUCAGCAUCUCACUGCAUUUUGCAAUUAGUGGGACAUGGGAGAACAGGAGUGCUGGUGACUAAAAGUGGAGUGAUCACAAAGACGUCAAGAUGGAAACCAAGGGGGAUGCUGCAAGCAUGAUUCCUCAGGCUCGGCCAGAUGCUCACGGACGUUAUGUUCAGAUGUGAAAGAGGAGCAUAAAAAUAAAGACCACAUGGAACACUGAAAAUACAUCUCAGGAGACUGUAUCAAAGGUGAAAGGCACUUAAGAAGUUUAUAAUUAGCUUCCUGGGAGACAGAACACCCCUCGGAACCUGUCUACCUGUUGUCUGACUACUGUUCUAGGUACAGUGAAUGUGUCAGGUAAAUGUUCCUUCCCUCCAGAGGCUGACAUCCUACUUUAGAGGACAUUUUCAGGACAAUAUUAAAUUCAAAAGGAGGGGACUACAAGUAUUUAAAAGAAUUUAAAAUUAUACCUAAAGAAAAAGAAAACCUAUAAAUAAUUGGGCUUCUUCUUUUUUUUAGGUAAAUUCUGUGCCCAACGUGGGGCUCAAACCCAUGACCCUGAGAUCAAGAGUCGCAUGCUCUACUGAGCCAGCCAGGCGCCCCCAAAUUGGGCUUCUUUUGCAUUAGCCUGUUGUUUAUGCCCCAAAUGUGGGAUUUUAUUUCCAAAAUUAUUCCUCAAAAAGAGGACGUUGCUUUACAUUCAUACUUAUCCUUUUAUCCAACCAGAGUGUUUACAAUGUGAGGGAAGGUCCAUCUCUGUCAUCUCCUCUGUGCCUAGCAAAAUCCCUGAAAGGUUGCAUACGAUCAACAAACUUUUGCUGAGUUGAACUGGGUUUGCUGACUCUGGUUUUCCCUCAGGCUAAAGCAGAGCACAGGUCUCUAACUUGCCCAGGAUCACUGGAGUGAAAACUCUGGGAGCACUGACCGGGCCCACCCUUGGUUCUGGUGAUGUCCUUUCUUGCUGUGAAAGGCCGGAGCAGGCAGCUUUCACCUGGACCUUGCCUUAGGCCGAGCACUUUCAAUUGUCUGCUUCACCUAAUGGGGAGGAAAUUCCCAACCGCAGCUGGAUCUCUUUUUCCUCAACUGUCUGGCAUGAACACCCAAGACAUUCCUUUUUCUACUCAAGGGUUGGUUUCUACUGGAUUAGUAGAGCUCUGUCAGUUCCUCCCUCCUUUCAGGGCUUUGCCCUCAGCCAUGCACAGCCGAGCUCCUCUCAACCAGCCCACUACAGCACUGUUUAAAUACCAGAUCAUUUUUAAAGAACCACAUCUCACUUUUAUUUACAAAUUAAAUAUUUAUUUAAAAUUGAAAUCCAGAAAAGGAUUCAAACCUACUUUCCACACUUAAACAAAUAUUCAAACAGUACUUAAGGAAAUGGCUAUAUCCCUUUUUCUUUUUUUUCUUUUGUUCCUUUAUUUUUUUUUAAAGACUGGAUGGCCACUCUGGCCUGGGAUGAGCAACAUGCACUAACUGUCCUCAACUGGGGGCCUCUCGGGAUCUGAGCGUUUGUGGCCCCUCCAGUCUUGUCCUCGCAAAUGGCUGUCAUUCUUCUACAGACCCUGGGUCCCUGUAUCCACUCUCAGAGAAACCGAAUCAGAACCUGGGGUCCCUACACUCAAGAGCACAAAGUGAACUCAAUGCUCAAACCCAUGCAAUAAUAAUAUUCCAGCAUCUUGUGAAAGCUUCUGGAGAGUGAGGAGGAAACCUUCCGAUAGACCUUAAGCACCAGGAACUGGGAAGUGAGAAGCUGGGAAAGCAAGGUGGGGUCUGUAAGAGACCCAGGCUGCUCACAGGUCAGCAUCUUCUGAGCAACCUCACAGGCCUCCCUCAUACACAUGGGUCGUCACCUUGACCUUCAAGAGAGUCCAGAAAAGUCGAACCCCACACAUCUUGCUUUGCCUUCCCCUCUGCCUUUCGUAGCACUUACGUCCAACCAUGCCAUUCAUUGUUAUAUACACGUUCCAAAUUCUAAAAGGUCUGCAGCCACGUUAGGAACAACUUGGAAAACAAAGAAGGGAAAAAAAAAACCCACCCAUAAUCCUAUCUCUCUUGCUAGUCUUUUUUCUCAUGUAAUUUAGAAACAUCAUUAUAAGCUACAUCCGAGUUGAUGCCUUACUUUUGAAAACAAAUAGUAUUUUGAUUUUAAUUCUGAUUUUCAAAGGAUUGCAUGGUCUAGGUAAAAAAUGUAGAAAAUACAGAAAAAUAUAUAAAAUGAAAGUUUCCCAAAUUCCCAUCACCCAGUGAAGUUACUAUUAACACUUCAUGGGGUUUCCUCCAGUUCCUCUUCCAUCCACUUAAUAUAUACUGAAUAUAAUUGACAAACACAUCGUUUUUUUUAAACAAAAUUUAUAUGACAGUGUAUGUAUACUGUUUUGUAUCCCACUUUUCCCACUUAAUAUAAAACAUAUCAUUAUAUAGUCAUGAAAAAUUAAUAACUCUGUAAAGGUCUAGUAAAUUGGUUUCCUGUAAUUAUUUAGUCAUUAUCUUAUUGACUUUUGAAAUCGUCGCCAAUUUUUUCAGUUAGAAUGUCAUGUUGAACAUCCUUCUGCUUUCAGUUUUUCCAUACUUUGAAUUAUUUCUCUUUACUCCUAAAGUUUGUUUAUUUUAGUAUUCUCUACAUCCAGUGUGGGGCUUGAACUCACAACCCCAAGAUCAAGAGUCGCAUGCCCUUCCAACUGAGCCAGCCAGGCGCCCCUUGAAUUACUUCUUUAGGAGAAAUUCCCGAAGUAAAAUUAAAGGGUAAAACCAGCAGGGACAAUUUUUAUGGUGUUUGACAUGCUGUCUGUUUCCAAAAGGGCCAUUGCUAUUUACGUUACUAUCC